rnacentral:tmRNA from 1 species
GGGGGCGAUACGGAUUCGACGCCGGUUACGAAACCUGAAGUGCAUGCCGUGAUGACAGCCAAUCACGUUAAUCCAAAGCUGUAACCCUAUAGUUGCCAACGACGACAACUACGCUCUGGCGGCCUGAACCCCGCUAGCGGUCUUUAGCAAGGUACCAGCCCCGCGCUACUGACUGUCAUAUAGAACUGGUUCGCAGCAAAAUCUGCCUGGGGUGGCGCUGUUAAAUCAAGUACAGGAUCGCGGUUUACGUCCUGCCCGCCGGGCUGUUUCCCGCUAAAUCAAUAGACGGAAUCUAAGCAGGUAGAGCUGAAGGCAGAGAACUGACGGACGCGGGUUCAACUCCCGCCGCCUCCACCA